UAAUGUUAAUCUCAAAAGAAAAUGAAAGGGCAAGAAGCCGAGUCCUGUAGCUUUGGCAUCUCGUCGUUGUAAGUCUCUGAAAGAAGAAGGAAAGGGUAAUGUUAAGCCGCGGAUGAGUGUAUCGGAUCAUGUAUCUCGUGAUAAUCCAUAUCCUUUUCAUAGCAGCAAGUGUCCCUGUAGCAUUAAUUCAGGACGGGCGGCUGCUUUUGAACCUUUUCUUGGACUUGUUGAUCAAAUAAGGCUGCUCUUUCCUGCUUCUAAAGUUGAACUGAUGGUUGAAAAGCUCACAUCUCUUGAGAUGCCAAAGCCUCCAGCACCACCCGUCAAGUUCUGACAAGUUCAUGGAUAGAGUUGUUACAUGGUGAUCUUAUGCAGAAACUGUUUACCCUUUGCCAAUAAGAAUAAACUGUUAAGUCGUUUGAAAAUGUAUUCAAUUAUGCUCCAAACUCUCUUGUAUGUUUCUUUUGUGAUCCCCAGAACAUUAAUAUAAAUUGUUCUCCAGUGA